CCUACGGGAGGCAGCAGUGGGGAAUAUUGCACAAUGGGGGAACCCCUGAUGCAGCGACGCCGCGUGGGUGAAGAAGUAUUUCGGUAUGUAAAGCUCUAUCAGCGGGGAAGAAAAUGACGGUCCCUGAUUACGACUCCCCGGCUACCUACGUGCCAGCAGCCGCGGUAAUACGUAGGGGGCAAGCGUUAUCCGGAUUUCCUGGGUGUAAAGGGAGCGUAGACGGCAGCGCAAGUCUGAAGUGAAAUGCCGGGGCUUAACCCCGGAACUGCUUUGGAAACUGUGCAGCUAGAGUGCAGGAGAGGUAAGUGGAAUUCCUAGUGUAGCGGUGAAAUGCGUAGAUAUUAGGAGGAACACCAGUGGCGAAGGCGGCUUACUGGACUGUAACUGACGUUGAGGCUCGAAAGCGUGGGGAGCAAACAGGAUUAGAUACCCCUGUAGUC
rnacentral:rRNA from 1 species